rnacentral:rRNA from 1 species
UACAGAGGGUGCAAGCGUUGUUCGGAAUUAUUGGGCGUAAAGCGUGUGUAGGCGGCUUUGCAAGUCGGGUGUGAAAGCCCUCAGCUCAACUGAGGAAGUGCGCCCGAAACUGCAGAGCUUGAGUGCCGGAGAGGGUGGCGGAAUUCCCCAAGUAGAGGUGAAAUUCGUAGAUAUGGGGAGGAACACCGGUGGCGAAGGCGGCCACCCUGGACGGUAACUGACGCUGAGACGCGAAAGCGUGGGGAGCAAACAGG